rnacentral:ncRNA from 1 species
AUGUAAAUCUGCAACCACUGGAAUAAACAUUUUGGUUGGGGUGACCUCGGAGCAUAAAAAAACCUCCGAAGGACUAACAUUAAGACCAACUAGUCCAAAUUAUAAAUGUCCAAAUAUUGACCCAGAAAUAAUUCUGAUCAAUGAACCAAGUUACCCUAGGGAUAACAGCGCAAUCUUGUUAAAGAGUUCAUAUCGACAAUAAGGUUUACGACCUCGAUGUUGGAUCAGGACAUCCCAAUGGUGCAGCAGCUAUUAAAGGUUCGUUUGUUCAACGAUUAAAGUCCUACGUGAUCUGAGUUCAGACCGGAGCAAUCCAGGUCGGUUUCUAUCUAUUUACCUAUUUCUCCUAGUACGAAAGGACCAGAGAAAUGAGGCCAACUUUACAAAAGCGCCUUAAUACUUAAUAAAUGAUAUUAUAUCAACUUACAAAGUAACUUAACUCACUCAAUUACAUCCCGACAUUAGGGAUUGUUAAGAUGGCAGAGCCAG